rnacentral:rRNA from 1 species
GAUGAACGCUGGCGGCGUGCCUAAUACAUGCAAGUCGAACGCUGAAGGAGGAGCUUGCUCUUCUGGAUGAGUUGCGAACGGGUGAGUAACGCGUAGGUAACCUGCCUGGUAGCGGGGGAUAACUAUUGGAAACGAUAGCUAAUACCGCAUGACAACAGUUAUUGCAUGAUAACUGUUUAAAAGGGGCAACUGCUCCACUACCAGAUGGACCUGCGUUGUAUUAGCUAGUUGGUGAGGUAACGGCUCACCAAGGCGACGAUACAUAGCCGACCUGAGAGGGUGAUCGGCCACCCUGGGACUGAGACACGGCCCAGACUUCUACGGGAGGCAGCAGUAGGGAAUCUUCGGCAAGGGACGGAAGUCUGACCGAGCAACGCCGCGUGAGUGCAGAAGGUUUUCGGAUCGUAAAGCUCUGUUGUAAGAGAAGAACGAGUGUGGGAGUGGAAAGUUCACACUGUGACGGUAUCUUACCAGAAAGGGACGGCUAACUACGUG